AUAUUUUUCUGGGCAGUAGCAAUAAGCUAGACAUCUUGAUCAGCACCCUCAGCUCCCGCAUAUUCGCGUGAUACAGCCUUCAGGAUUGCCAGCCAACUUUGCACGUUACACGCUACUAUUUACUAAUCUUGCGGUCGUGGCACGGCAGUGAAAGAAAGGCUACCCCCCUUCCGGAUGCACCCCCCUGCAAAAAGUUCUGCGGACGCCCUUGCCCUAUUUCACAA
rnacentral:lncRNA from 1 species